CAGACCUCUAAUCGGAAAAGACUACCCGCUGAGUUUAAGCAUAUCAAUAGCCGGAGGA
rnacentral:rRNA from 1 species